GCGAAAUCGCUUCUCACUUAUCGCGCCUCUCACAGUCUCACCUUCGUUACUAAAGUGCUUCUCAUUUCUGCACAUUCUUGUUCGAGAGCUUCUCACUUCCAAGUUUCUUCUUCGAGCAUAAUCUUGACGCCAAUCAAACAGUGUGACCUUCAACUACUGAACGUGGAUACCGUUGUAGUUCAAAAGGAAUUUACUAGGAGCAGCAAUCCAGUGACUUGUCCUUGUUCUAAAAAAUAGCUUGAUUAUGGAAUCAGCUCGUCUGCACUAAACGAUCCAAGUGAAAAUGCAACAUUUCUUCCUUUUGGAUCUGGUACACAUUC